ACGUAGCGAAAUGCGAUACUUGGUGUGAAUUGCAGAAUCCCGUGAACCAUCGAGUCUUUGAACGCAAGUUGCGCCCGAAGCCGUUAGGCCGAGGGCACGUCUGCCUGGGCGUCACAC
rnacentral:rRNA from 1 species